GACGAACGCUGUCGGCGUGCUUAACACAUGCAAGUCGAACGGAAAGGCCCUGCUUUUGUGGGGUGCUCGAGUGGCGAACAGGUGAGUAACACGUGAGUAACCUGCCCUUGACUUUGGGAUAACUUCAGGAAACUGGGGCUAAUACCGGAUAGGAGCUCCUGCUGCAUGGUGGGGGUUGGAAAGUUUCGGCGGUUGGGGAUGGACUCGCGGCUUAUCAGCUUGUUGGUGGGGUAGUGGCUUACCAAGGCUUUGACGGGUAGCCGGCCUGAGAGGGUGACCGGCCACAUUGGGACUGAGAUACGGCCCAGACUCCUACGGGAGGCAGCAGUGGGGAAUAUUGCACAAUGGGCGGAAGCCUGAUGCAGCAACGCCGCGUGCGGGAUGACGGCCUUCGGGUUGUAAACCGCUUUCGCCUGUGACGAAGCGUGAGUGACGGUAAUGGGUGAAGAAGCACCGGCUAACUACGUGCCAGCAGCCGCGGUGAUACGUAGGGUGCGAGCGUUGUCCGGAUUUAUUGGGCGUAAAGGGCUCGUAGGUGGUUGAUCGCGUCGGAAGUGUAAUCUUGGGGCUUAACCCUGAGCGUGCUUUCGAUACGGGUUGACUUGAGGAAGGUAGGGGAGAAUGGGAUUCCUGGUGGAGCGGUGGAGUGCGCAGAUAUCAGGAGGAACACCAGUGGCGAAGGCGGUUCUCUGGGCCUUUCCUGACGCUGAGGAGCGAAAGCGUGGGGAGCGAACAGGCUUAGAUACCCUGGUAGUCCACGCUGUAAACGGUGGGUACUAGGUGUGGGGUCCAUUCCACGGGUUCCGUGCCGUAGCUAACGCUUUAAGUACCCCGCCUGGGGGGUACGGCCGCAAGGCUAAAACUCAAAGGAAUUGACGGGGCCCCGCACAAGCGGCGGAGCAUGCGGAUUAAUUCGAUGCAACGCGUAGAACCUUACCUGGGUUUGACAUGGAUCGGGAGUGCUCAGAGAUGGGUGUGCCUCUUUUGGGGUCGGUUCACAGGUGGUGCAUGGCUGUCGUCAGCUCGUGUCGUGAGAUGUUGGGUUAAGUCCCGCAACGAGCGCAACCCUUGUUCACUGUUGCCAGCACGUUAUGGUGGGGACUCAGUGGAGACCGCCGGGGUCAACUCGGAGGAAGGUGGGGAUGACGUCAAGUCAUCAUGCCCCUUAUGUCCAGGGCUUCACGCAUGCUACAAUGGCUGGUACAGAGAGUGGCGAGCCUGUGAGGGUGAGCGAAUCUCGGAAAGCCGGUCUCAGUUCGGAUUGGGGUCUGCAACUCGACCUCAUGAAGUCGGAGUCGCUAGUAAUCGCAGAUCAGCAACGCUGCGGUGAAUACGUUCCCGGG
rnacentral:rRNA from 1 species